rnacentral:rRNA from 1 species
UACGUAGGGGGCUAGCGUUGUCCGGAAUCAUUGGGCGUAAAGCGCGUGUAGGCGGUCCGGUAAGUCCGCUGUGAAAGUCGGGGGGCUCAACCCUCGGAUGCCGGUGGAGUACUGUCGGGCUUGAGUACGGAAGAGGCGAGUGGAAUUCCUGGUGUAGCGGUGAAAUGCGCAGAUAUCAGGAGGAACACCAAUUGCGAAGGCAGCUCGCUGGGACGUUACUGACGCUGAGACGCGAAAGCGUGGGGAGCAAACAGG